AACAUGAUUAGGACUCCUCUGUAUGGCAAAUAUAAGUAUGAAAAUGAGUUGCCAUAAAUAUUAUCACAUGCCAUACGUUGUCUUUUGUAUUUGUAUUUACACUCAUCACUCAUCAGUUGCAUGAAUUUCGGUAAUCACGACUUUGGAGUUAUUGUAGGGCUGAAUUUUUCUGACGCUCGGUGAGAGUUUUGGAGUUAAAUUAAGAUCCCGCUGAGAAUAUAAGCUUUGCACUGAUUGGUCGUUCAAGGCUCUGGACCAAUCAGGGACGAAGAUAUUACAACGCAAACAAAGGAAGAGGAAUGUCAACAAAGUGUGACGCAGUAAACCCGAGCGAAGAAGCCGCGUGCUGAGUAAAUGCGUGUGUUUUGUUUCAUAACAGGAAAAAACAACUUUACGCAGUGACGACAAAUCAGAAGCAGCAAACAAAGGAGGAAACAAGAUGUAUGAAUGACAAGGUUUUGGCACAGCUGGAUAGUGAAAGUCUGAUUAUAAGGAACCAGAUCCACUCCAGCUUCUCAUACAGAGCUCCUGCAGUAGGAGGAUGAAGACUCCAUGAGGUUUGCCAUGAGUAUAAAAGAUGAAGAAUCAAUUCCUUCUGACUAUAUUUCUGGGUCCAUAGUCUCUCUCUCUCUCUCUCUCUCUCUCUCUCUCUCUCUCUCUCUCUCUCUCUCUCUCUAUCACUCACAGUCAGCCAGUAAAUCCUAAAUCCUUCUGCCAGUUUUAUUAUACAAAGUCUUCAGCAAUGACUAAAGCAGUGCCCGUGUAAACAAAUGUCUUGCCUUUCUUUCUUUCUUUUUUUUUUUUUAACUCAUCAUUAAAAACACAUUUUGGUACCUUCGCAAACCUGCAUAUUCGUGAUCCUUAGUCAUACAGAUGCAGAAAAUAUGAUGAGAAAAGAAUGACAGAAUGCUCAAAAUCACAACAGCAGAAAACUGUGCCUGUUAGCAUCUAAAGCAAGAAAUGGAUCAAAACUGUAUAUGAAAGUAACAGCAUCAGAUUUGGCUGGUGAAUAUAAAUGACGAUUCUUUGCUUUUUUUAAACAAAAAUACCAUUAAAACUAAUAAUGCCAGAUGACUGGAUGAGGUAUUACUAGGUGAAGUAUAUAAGGUAAUAAAAUGUAAAGAGUUAAAUAAGAAAACCCAUUAACUGUUUGUCUACAAAGUGGCUGGACAAGGAGGUGACUUUCUUCUAUGCAGUGCAAAAACUCUAUACAGGAGAUACCGAGUGCCUCAUACAGAAACUCUUCAGGUAGAAUCCAGUGCCUGAACUUGCAGGAAUUUCACAAUAUUGUGUCUAGUUGCCAAGCUAGCACAAAAAACUAGUGCAUGCCCAUCUACUUUUCAACAGAUGCAGAAACAGGUGGCAAGUAUGUGUGCUGUGGUGUGAGUUUAAAAAUGGCUGAAUAGUGCAUUGCACACGGAUGCUUGAUGCUGGAGCAGUAGCUUUAGGCUCUUUCAUUAAUUUGGACAUUAAACAAAUCUGAAGUUGAGUGUAAUUUAAAUGUAGACAUUACAAUGGAACACUAAUACCAAACAACUCCAGGGUCCUAGUGUUGGUCCUCAGGUUGGGUUAUUGUCUGUAAAUAAUUGUGCAUGUUAUCCCUGUUUCCACCAGGUUUCAUGGCAUUCUCUCACCUGCAAAAAUCUUAAAAACAGGUUGACUGGCCGGCCUAAAUACCCCUAGAUGUAAGUCAGGAAGUUAAUGUGUGUGUACUGUGUUCUCAAGAUAUGUUUUAGAGCUGUUGAGACCCUUACAGUGGUUACUGAAGGUAAUUGAUGCAACUGAAGUGUGACAUGAACAAAAAAUAAAAGGUUUUUGCCUCUUGAUUUUUAAAAUCCCCUAAAUCUUGAAAUGUUUCAGUUUUACAUCAUGAAAUUAAUGGGUUUUUUUGUUUGUUUUUUAAUCGCUUUUGUCCCCUUUUCAAAAAUUGGUUCAGAUCUGAAAACAAAGACCAAAUUACCAAAUGGAGUUUGGGGUUUGAGCAAAUCUAUUCCGGUUUAAUGGCAAUUUAAUGGUGGAUGUGUGAAAUUAUUUACAUGUAUAAAUAAAAAUUGCGGCUGAAAAAAAAAAAAAACCUGUAUACACGAUACAACUAUUUUCCAAGUUACUGCAAAAUACUGUAUGGGUAAAAAGCUACAAAAGCUUACUAUGCCCUCAAAAAUAGGUUUGUGUACAUUUCCUUGUCACUAAGGGGUAUAUUGAAAGGCAUAUCAUUCAUGUCUGUAAUAUGUAUCUUUAUCUCCAAAGGAUUUAACAGCCCCCCAAAAAAGCUUUUUUUUUUGCUAUGCAUGAUUCAUUCCCCACUCUCUCCAAUUUUAUAUUGAAUCACUAUUUGUGGUGAUGUUUCUGUGGUGUGAUCUUUUAUAAAGGCUUUGACAUUAAGCUGUACAAAAACAUUCCCCAGCCAGAAGUACAAUUUAUAAAAGUCUCCCGGGUCACUCUCACAUGUGAUUAGAACUGGUGAUAAUGCCUGGUGGAUCUUAACAGCAGUUUGAAGAGACCUGGAUUGAUAACCUGUGGAUUUAUUACUUUUAACUUCUCACCUAGUGUUGAGAAUGUUGGUAAUAAAUGAUUUGAUUAUACAGUAUACAUUUUGAUGGUGCAUGUACAGGAUCCAAGGAAACAUCCAGCUGAGAGUAGUAUGUAUGUGUGCAAUGUAUAAGAAUUGACACACUGUAAACCUCACACCCAAACCUCCUGACUCUUCUCUGUGCUUAAGAAAUUAUUUACAAUGCUAGGCUGCUGAGGUCAGUGCAUGCCUGUAUCAUUUUACACAGAUAUCAUGAGAGGAUGGUAGGUAUGUGCAUGAAGACCAGGGCAGGAGUGAAGACCGAGUGCAAGUACAAUGUGUUCAUUUAUUUUUGAUAUUUUGACUUUUUGUGUUCAUUUUUUUUCUUCUUCUUACAUUUAAAAGAUUUAGAUAAAAAAACAUUUCCUCUACUGUUUAAAGCUAAAUGGUUGAAUUGUAACAUUUCUACCUUAUACAUCUGUCUAUAUUUUGUAAUUUUAUGUCCUUCAAAAUAGCGAUUUAGUGACGACCGUAUAAAAUUGCUUCUUGCAUUAGAUAUGCGACUCAUUGUUUACAUUUUAUGCCAGUCAUCAGCACCUACAAUAAACCUAAUGUGCUAAAAUCUGCAAUCAAUAAAAACUAAUAAUAUAUAAAAUAUGAAUAAAACUACUGAAAUAAUAUUAUAUAAAAUUACAACUUGCAAUAAAAUGUGAGCUUUGGGCAUACACUGAGCUUGGCAGCUUAGUGUUGUAAAUUACACUCUCUCCAUAUGUCUACCUGACUUCUAUCUGAAAUCUCCAGGGUUUUAUUUUGUAGGAAAUGUCUGAAGAACAUUUCUGGAGGUAACUUGGCUAUGAGUAUGUGAGUGAAUGUGCAGGAUGUUGUUUAAACCAGCAUCCUAACCUCAUUUGGGUUAUUCUGUAAAAAAGAUCUGAAUCUAUUGAGACUCUGACCAGGAUUAAAUGUUUGCUGAAUGUGAAUAAAUCUUUUUUGUACAUAUAAUGAGUAAGAAUAAUAUAGGUAUUGGAUAACAUAUACUUUAUUUAGUCUUUACUUACUAAAUUUAUAUCAUAAGAUUGAGAAUAUAUUAGAAUAUAAAAAAUUAAGCAUCUGAUCUCAUGGAGAUCUCAGUAGAUUGAAGUCAGAACUCAUAUUUCCCAGUGUAGAGGACAUAAACAUCAAUAUAAACAUUUUUUUUAAUUAAAAGAUGUUACCAUGUUGCCUA